rnacentral:rRNA from 1 species
UACGUAGGGUGCGAGCGUUACUCGGAAUUACUGGGCGUAAAGUGUGCGCAGGUGGCUUCGCAAGUCGAGUGUGAAAUCCCCGGGCUUAACCUGGGAAUUGCGCUCGAAACUACGGAGCUGGAGUAUGGCAGAGGGCGGUGGAAUUCCACGUGUAGCGGUGAAAUGCGUAGAGAUGUGGAGGAACACCAAUGGCGAAGGCAGCCGCCUGGGCCAAUACUGACACUCAGGCACGAAAGCGUGGGGAGCAAACAGG